AACUUACAUCUAUAAACGCCAGGGAAUUACGAGCUACGCUUAAAACCCAAAGGAUUUGACGGUGUCCCACCCACCUAGAGGAGCCUGUUCUAUAAUCGAUAAUACCCGCUAUACCCAACCACCUCUUGCUAUUCAGUCUGUAUACCUCCGUCGAAAGCUUACCAUGUGAACGCCUACAGUGAGUACAAUGAUCCCCAACGUCAACACGUCAGGUCAAGGUGCAGCUUAAGGGGUGGAAAGAAAUGGGCUACAAUUUCUAAUCUAGAACAAACGAAAGACUAUGUGAAAUCAUGGUACUGAAGGCGGAUUUAGCAGUAAAAAGAAAAUAGAGCGUUCUUUUUAACCUGGCUCUGGGACGCGUACACACCGCCCGUCAC
rnacentral:rRNA from 1 species